GACGAACGCUGGCGGCGUGCUUAACACAUGCAAGUCGAACGAGAAGAGAUGAGAAGCUUGCUUCUUAUCAAUUCGAGUGGCAAACGGGUGAGUAACGCGUAAGCAACCUGCCCUUCAGAUGGGGACAACAGCUGGAAACGACUGCUAAUACCGCAUAAGCCCACGGCCCGGCAUCGGGUUGAGGGAAAAGGAUUUAUUCGCUUCAGGAUGGACUCGCGUCCAAUUAGCUAGUUGGUGAGGUAACGGCCCACCAAGGCGACGAUUGGUAGCCGGACUGAGAGGUUGAACGGCCACAUUGGGACUGAGACACGGCCCAG
rnacentral:rRNA from 1 species